UAACAAAUACAGAAAAGAUUUGGUUAGUUGGGUGCCGGGUGGACUUUGCAGAGUGUAGACCCCUUAAUAGUGAGGUGGUUGCUUUCCUCUAAGGCGUAACACUCCCUAUCGAUGCGUUUUUACACCUCACAGCUUCAACAGAUCGCUUAGCCCCAUUUUUUUUUAUUGUUCCUUAGCUAUAUAAGUCCCUUAAUUUUGAAUUUACAGUCAUCAAGCAGCAUCAUCUUAUAUUCCCCCUUCCCCCAAAAUCUUCUUCUGAAGUUUCCUGCUACUUAGUGCUUACUGAUGUUUGUUUGUCAUUUGCAGGUGCAGAAUACUUCCUGGACAAGACCAUGGAGAAUGACAAAAACUAAUUAAAAACCAGGCUCAGAGGCCCGCAUAAAUUUGUCUCCUCAAAACCACACCAAUGUGGGCUGGAGAGCCCGACCCAACCAACCAGCCUUCAUGGGCACACAGGCUAAGUCUAGAGGUGGACAAGGGAGCUUGGCCUCCCUUAUAACCAGCACUUCAGUCUCACAUCUAAGGGAUGUGAAACCAUCGCGAGUGAGAAUAUCAGCUAAUGGUACAAAAACUGUGGCAGAGCUGAGACGGCCUUUGGAAGAGCUUAUGAAGGGAAAGAUCAUCAAUGAUGCUUCUCCUCUCAUACGGCAUCACACUUAUACAUCAUCAGCUCCACACCAAGCUUUUGAGAGAACUUAGGUCUCCAAAUCCCAUCAUGCUCAUUCAUCACUCCAGCACUCGGUUUCUGGUUAUUUUAUUCCCAUCCUUUCAUUUUGAUGGUUUGAGAUUGAUUUGGUUUGUGGGUUUUAAUCAAAAACUUGAACAAGAUGGAGUAACUGUCCUUUUAGAGACGUGAAAGGCAGAGGACGUUUGUGGGGUUGGAGGUUGAAGUUAUUUGUGUUCUAAUAGAGAUUUCAGUCCGAUAAAUUGUCUUUAGUAUUCAACUUUUUGGCUUUGAGAGCAUCUUUUCAAGAACAGAUUAAUUCAAGAAAUCCCAAAAAUUAACAUUAAAAAAUGAAAGAGUGUGACCAGAACCCAGAACCAGAAGUCACAAUGCACUAAACGAAGAGAAGAAACAAACUAGGCUCUGUUUAUUACGAGCACAUUAGCAUUAUCACGAUCACUAAAUACCCAACUAUGGACUAAAAGUUUGGGUUGUAGCGUUCGUAGCAGACAAUAGCUACAUGACCUGAUAUGCCACAAAUUUGACAAAUUGGACGAGGGAUCCGACGCUGAAUGCUAGAAGAAAAAGAAGAAGCAGCUCUGGAUCUACCACAACCAGCUCUUUUUCCAAGCAGCCUCGAAUUCUUCGACAGCGGAUGAACCAUGUUGUUGUUGCUGAAGGGUGAAGAAGUGGCGCUGGAAUCGCUCAUCGACGCCGUGAGGUGGGGUUUGGUUGAAAAAUCAAGGGAGGUGAGAAUCGUAGAGUGCUUCGAUCCCUCUCGAAUCUGUAGCAGAAGUAUUGUAUUGGUUUAGUUCUUGAUUUUUCCGAUCAUUUUACUGUUUGUGCGACUUGCGAUUUGCGAAUCGAUAGGGUCUCUCCUGUCAUAGUGAUGGGGUUAUAUCUGUAAUUACAGUCA